rnacentral:misc_RNA from 1 species
UGUAGGAGCGGGCUUGCUCGCGAUGGUAUCACCGCGGUUCGUCAUAACAACCGCGUGGCCUGCAUCGCGAGCCAGCCCGCUCCCACC